AUACUUAUUACUAUUUUUCUACCACCAGUAAAAGCCAACAGCGCUGUUUCUUUUUCAAUCCACAGGAUUUAAUGCAAUUGCCUUGUGUACUAAUGCAAUUAAAUUAAAAGAAAUUGAAAGAGACGAGUCCAAGGAAGAAGGCAGACGCUCUCUCUCUCUCUCUUCUCCUUCCCUUCUCUUUCCUUCGAAACUGGAAAAAUAGAGAAAGAAUCUCCAUCUCCGAUGCCGGCAUUGAUGGCCUCCGGUAUGUAGAGAAAGGAGCCUCCUUUCCUUUGAGCGGCUGCGGAAUUUUUCCUAUUUAUUUGCCAUAUCCUCAUGUCCAUUCGUGCCCUCCUUUCUCUCCAAAAUCAAACACCCCUCCUCACCCUACCAGAUCACCAGCAUCGCAUCGCAUGAACUAGUCAAGCACCGCCGACGAAACCAAAAACUUUCAAUUCUCGUGUCGUAAGGUUUAAUGCCAUGGGCGGCCAUUGCUGUGGCUUGUGCUUGUAAUUUUAUAUGGAUACUCGGUCCGUCGCCAAGGAGGUCUUCUCACUCCGGCGAAGCUGCCCUUCUCCACCCUCGACCUCUUAGAUUUAUAUCCAAGAUUCGCUGCCCCUUUGGAGUUGGAUCGCUCCAUCUUCGCCGCCGUCGACCUCCGCCUCAUCCUUGCCUCCAGCGGCUUCUCAGCCUUCGCCGCCGCCGCCGCAAAUACCUCCAUCGG
rnacentral:lncRNA from 1 species